CGGGACACGUGGUAUCCUGUCUGAAUAUGGGGGGACCAUCCUCCAAGGCUAAAUACUCCUGACUGACCGAUAGUGAACCAGUACCGUGAGGGAAAGGCGAAAAGAACCCCGGCGAGGGGAGUGAAAAAGAACCUGAAACCGUGUACGUACAAGCAGUGGGAGCCUCUUUAUGGGGUGACUGCGUACCUUUUGUAUAAUGGGUCAGCGACUUAUAUUCUGUAGCAAGGUUAACCGAAUAGGGGAGCCGAAGGGAAACCGAGUCUUAACUGGGCGUUAAGUUGCAGGGUAUAGACCCGAAACCCGGUGAUCUAGCCAUGGGCAGGUUGAAGGUUGGGUAACACUAACUGGAGGACCGAACCGACUAAUGUUGAAAAAUUAGCGGAUGACUUGUGGCUGGGGGUGAAAGGCCAAUCAAACCGGGAGAUAGCUGGUUCUCCCCGAAAGCUAUUUAGGUAGCGCCUCGUGAAUUCAUCUCCGGGGGUAGAGCACUGUUUCGGCAAGGGGGUCAUCCCGACUUACCAACCCGAUGCAAACUGCGAAUACCGGAGAAUGUUAUCACGGGAGACACACGGCGGGUGCUAACGUCCGUCGUGAAGAGGGAAACAACCCAGACCGCCAGCUAAGGUCCCAAAGUCAUGGUUAAGUGGGAAACGAUGUGGGAAGGCCCAGACAGCCAGGAUGUUGGCUUAGAAGCAGCCAUCAUUUAAAGAAAGCGUAAUAGCUCACUGGUCGAGUCGGCCUGCGCGGAAGAUGUAACGGGGCUAAACCAUGCACCGAAGCUGCGGCAGCGACGCUUAUGCGUUGUUGGGUAGGGGAGCGUUCUGUAAGCCUGUGAAGGUGUACUGUGAGGUAUGCUGGAGGUAUCAGAAGUGCGAAUGCUGACAUAAGUAACGAUAAAGCGGGUGAAAAGCCCGCUCGCCGGAAGACCAAGGGUUCCUGUCCAACGUUAAUCGGGGCAGGGUGAGUCGACCCCUAAGGCGAGGCCGAAAGGCGUAGUCGAUGGGAAACAGGU
rnacentral:rRNA from 1 species